rnacentral:rRNA from 1 species
AGUGAACGCUGGCGGUAGGCCUAACACAUGCAAGUCGAACGGCAGCACAGUAAGAGCUUGCUCUUACGGGUGGCGAGUGGCGGACGGGUGAGGAAUACAUCGGAAUCUACUUUUUCGUGGGGGAUAACGUAGGGAAACUUACGCUAAUACCGCAUACGACCUACGGGUGAAAGCAGGGGAUCUUCGGACUUUGCGCGAUUGAAUGAGCCGAUGUCGGAUUAGCUAGUUGGCGGGGUAAAGGCCCACCAAGGCGACGAUCCGUAGCUGGUCUGAGAGGAUGAUCAGCCACACUGGAACUGAGACACGGUCCAGACUCCUACGGGAGGCAGCAGUGGGGAAUAUUGGACAAUGGGCGCAAGCCUGAUCCAGCCAUACCGCGUGGGUGAAGAAGGCCUUCGGGUUGUAAAGCCCUUUUGUUGGGAAAGAAAAGCAGCAGGUUAAUACCCCGCUGUUCUGACGGUACCCAAAGAAUAAGCACCGGCUAACUUCGUG